rnacentral:misc_RNA from 1 species
UUAAGUUCAGCGGGUAUCCCUACCUGAUCCGAGGUCAAUCAUUAGAAGUGAUGGUUCUGGCGGAGGCACGCCGAGCGCCUGUAACGAGAGAUAUUACUACGUUCAGGGCCCAGCGGCACCGCCACUAAUUUUAGAGCCUGCCAUCGCUGACAUGGGCUCAACACCAAGCAGAGCUUGAAGGGUUUUAAUGACGCUCGGAC